rnacentral:lncRNA from 1 species
GGGGCGCUCCCUAGCCCUGGGUGGGUGGAGCGGGGGAAGCGGAGUACGUUGGACCCGGCUCCGCCCUACCCCACGGGGCCGCCUGGAGAGGUGCUGGGAGCUGGGUGGAGCUUAGAGGAAUUAAACUUUGGCCCUGCGCCUCGUCCAGCCUAGGUUCCACCCUUUUCUGGGAACGUGAGUAUCAACCAAGGCUGGAGUGCAGUGGCACCAUCUCGGCUCACUGCAACCUCUGGCUCCCAGGUUCAAGCGAUUCUCCUGCCUCAGCCCCCUGAGUAGCUGGGAUUACAGGCACGCGCCACCACUCCCAGAUCUUCACUUCAGGUCAGCUCCAAGGAGGCUAUCCUUGCCCAUCUUCCUAAAAUAGAGCUCUCAAAACCUGGCUGUUUUCCUUCAGAGCACUGGCCUCCAAUUGCUCCGGUAGAUUGCAAAUGACCUGCUUUCUUUCUGUUCCCGGGCGUUUGGACCCCUGUCUUGGACCGCUGUCGGAUAGUAAAUCCCAAGUAAGGUACCUGCCGUCGGCAGAUUUGAGCUUUCUUCUUGGACACCUAAUACCCAGAGUCCUCCAGGCUCCGGUAGAUUGCAAAUGACCUGCUUUCUUUCUGUUCCCGGGCGGCAUCGGACCCGUCGGAGAGUAAAUCCCAAGUAAGGUACCUGCCGUUGGCAGAUUUGAGCUUUCUUCUUGGACACCUAAUACCCACAGUCCUCCAGGCUCCGGUAGAUUGCAAAUGACCUGCUUUCUUUCUGUUCCCGGGUGGCAUCGACCCGUCGGAGAGUAAAUCCCAAGUAAGGUACCUGCCGUUGGCAGAUUUGAGCUUUCUUCUUGGACACCUAAUACCCACAGUCCUCCAGUAAAUCCCAAGCAAGGUACCUGCCGUCAGCAGAUUUGAGCUUUCUUCUUGGACACCUAAUACCCACAGUCCUCCAGGCUCCGGUAGAUUGCAAAUGACCUGCUUUCUUUCUGUUCCCGGGCUGCGUUCGGACCCCUGUCGGAUAGUAACUCCCAAGCUCCGGUAGAUUGCAAAUGACCUGCUUUCUUUCUGUUCCCGGGCUGCGUUCGGACCCCUGUCGGAGAGUAAAUCCGAAAAAAACAAACAAA